UACGUAGGGUGCAAGCGUUGUCCGGAAUUAUUGGGCGUAAAGAGCUUGUAGGCGGUUUGUCGCGUCUGCUGUGAAAUUUCGGGGCUCAACCCCGAACUUGCAGUGGGUACGGGCAGACUAGAGUGUGGUAGGGGAGACUGGAAUUCCUGGUGUAGCGGUGAAAUGCGCAGAUAUCAGGAGGAACACCAAUGGCGAAGGCAGCUCGCUGGGACGGUACUGACGCUGAGGCGCGAAAGCGUGGGGAGCGAACAGG
rnacentral:rRNA from 1 species